ACCUUCCUUAAUUAAUAAAAGUUUGAUGCAGAAUUCAGUUUCGCAUCACGCAUUAUAAGAUUUUCAUUACUGAAAUAGAAUCUACUUCCUUUAGCAAAGUCGAGAGUUCUUCAACAAUCUACCUCUUUCAAGUUCACCAAAGAAUCAUAUGCACUUCAUAAAAACAUAUUUCGUUGGAUUGAGGCAUUAUAAAGUUCAGAAGUCUAUAGAAUAUACAAAACUAAAAUUAUGAGGUAUUUAAAUGAUUGGUGGGAAGCUGACCUAAUGUACGUAUAAAGUGGACAACACUCGAAUAGUCGUUGCAUACACAAUGCUUAUCUAUGAUUGUUCGUUUCCCUGCCUGUUCUUCAAUUGUUCAUUCCACGCGACCCCUCUCGGAAGCGUCAAAAUUUCGAAAGACGUUAUUGGCCUGGCAGAGACCACGUUGGCGCCGUUUUGUCGUACGUCAACGUCGUCCACGGAAGCGUGCAUGUGCAUAGUGAUGGCAUUGAUCCUCACCUCCGUACGGUGUCAACAGGCUACAAAAAAAGUGUGGACACUUUGUGAGUAUUUAACUACUUGCUGAUGCAUGAUAUGUAUUUUUAAACGGUUUGGUCAUAUCCAUCAAUUUCUAUUAUGGAGCAUUUAUAAAUUACGUUUAUAACAUGAAAAGAUAUUUUUUAUAUUCAUUAUGAUAAAAUAAUGAAUUAUAAAUAUUGCGAUUUGAUAUUGAAAAUGAUGAAUGGAUGAAGUGGAAUGGUAAAUUGUUUAAUUUAAAUUUAGAGAAAUAUUUCACAAGUUUAAUAAGAUGACAAAAUGAAUCACAAUAUUGUGUCUCGAAAUUAAAAAUGAGAAAUGAUAGAACUUUAAUGUUACAUUUGUUCCAAUAUUAUAUACAAAUAACAUAACUUUUAAUUUAAGUAGUUUUAAUAUAUUAUAAAACUAAUGUUACAUUUGUUCCAGUAUCAUAUACAUACAACAUAACUUUUUCUAAUAAUAAUAGCUUUAAUACGUGAUAAAAUAAAGUAAAACAUUCAUUAUUUCCAUACUUUCGCAUAACUUAAACCUAUUUUCCGUAAGUCUUGAAAAAGAACAUUUAUAAUGUUCAAUAAUAAUACACAAAUAAAAGUUGAACUCGUAAGGAAGUGAAAAUAGAACCGAUAUCUGUAUCAUACUUACUCUAAGUAAAUAACUAUUU